GGGAGCGCUCGGGACGGCGGCUGGGAAAGGUGUGUGUCUGCUCCUGCCUCUUCAUCCAGCACCUGUCUGAGCAGCCAUCCUAGACCCCGACAUGGAUACAGCCUUUGCAAAGCACCUGGAAGAGAGAGGAACAGAUAGGAGUCGUUAAGAUUGCACUGCUGUCCAAGGCCUGAGAGCAAGCAAGAUGAUCCACAGUGUAACCCAGUCCAGGUACUCUUGCCAAAGUCGUGGUCUGGCAGGCUGAGACAUUCAGGAGAAGCUGAUUGCUUCCUGAUACCUUAGUUAAUCCAUCUCUGCAUAUUAGUUUUACACUUCCUGCAGAACUGUUUGCAGGACACAUAAAACAACAAUAUUUUCCUGAAACUGACUGCUUUAUCUUUUCUCAGAAGACUAGGCUGUAUGAAGUCCUGCCCAAGCCACCGCUGAAAACAUUCCAUUUUACUCUUCUGAUUUCAACGAGUGUAACAGAGCAAUAGCCAAAGUGAUGGAUGUCGAUGCUACUGAACAUGCCACUCAGAGCUAAGGUAGGGAAAGAGCAGAUCACAGUUUCAGCACCACUCCUGUUGCCUCUCACAGUAAAUGACAUGCCAAAGUCAUUGUGACAAUCCCUAGAAGAAAUUAAUACUUUAACGCAUCUUUAAGUGCAGAUUAUAGAGUUUCUCUGCCUGCCAUACAGAAGGAAGAAAGAGCUUAAUCUGUGUAAGCUACUGUCUUAUUCAGAUGAGAGGUGCCAGGUAAAUGCAGGAUGGUUUCUGUUCCACCAGAAUUCCUCACCUCCUCCCACCACUAAAACCCAGCCACGGCCAUCUUCACUCCCCUACAGCCUCCAAACACACCACACACAGCCAAAAAGAGGGAAAGAAAGAGGGUAAAUAAACAAUUGUGGAACAUUUCAACAGUGCUUGAAAACUGUUCUUAUAGUUGUAUACUGUGAAAUUUGAAGCCUGAAACGAGAAAGCAGACAAUGUAAAAAGCAGUUAUUUUUAACCAUGCAGAAAUUCUUGCAUACAGUGAUACUGCCCCAUCUUAGGUGUGUCCUCACACUGAUCUUUGUAGGGGGUUACUGAUGCAGGAAGAGGUAGAGAGGAAUUUGUUUGUGAACAAUUUCAAGUACACCACUCAUCAAUCUUAUUUUUGCAACAGGCCUAACCUGAAAGCAUUCUUCCUUUCAUUCAAUGAAAGCAGAAAUCCAAACCACUGCUUCUGUGCCCUUUGAAUAACAAACCCCUCCAGUGGUGGACUGGGCAGAGGAAACUCACUCAGCAGAGCAUUUGUAACGUAAAUUACCUGGCAGAGAUUACAUUUUAGGCUCCAGUUCUGUAAACUCCUGCUGCCUGCCUGACGCUCCACUGAAGUUUGUAGCAUUCCAGUCCAUUUAGAGCAAACAAAGAUGAGAGCUCUAGUUCACAGCAUGUGAAAUUAAGUAUACAAUACAUUUCUUUACUGCAAGCAAUUAUGCUUGGUACUAGCUCAGAGAACCAUUCCAGGAAAAGACUUAUACUCUUCUUUACUGUCUCAGAUUGUAUAUACAAUAACUCCAUAGCUGCAUAACUUAUUUUAUAUGGAAUAUGUUUAUACAAAAUAAAAAGUGGUUUUCCUCUAA